UGGUGGGUUAUCUUGUCAGGUUUAUUCCGGUAACGAACGAGACCUCAGCCUGCUAAAUAGAGAGAUUUUGGAAUUCAAUUUCAAAAUCAACAUCUCUUCUUAGAGGGACUCCUGACAACUACUUAAGUCAGCGGAAGCUUGAGGCAAAAACA
rnacentral:rRNA from 1 species